GGUAGUUGGACUCUUUUUGGACUCUCCCUCUGGAUACAUCUUGCGGUCCCCACUGGCAGACGGAAGAUUUGGCCACUGGAAACCUGCCGCUGUGUCACUCAAGAGCCAUACUCCGCUUUGGAGUUUCAUUUCAUGUGAUGGGGAAAACUGGGUUUCUUCCUCUUGGCUACAAAGCUGCCUACAAGAGUUCUUAGAGUGUUUCAAGACAGCGGAGUGUAACCAACAACAAGAAUUCCCAGAGCCACAAAGAUGGAAGUAGAGGAAUAAGCCAGUUUAAGCUACAUGUCACCAGUGAGGAUAGGAAAUAUCACUGUUUGGAUGUCCAUCAAGCCUUGGCAUUCUAUCUACAAAGGACAAAAUCCUUUAGGAAAUCACCUAGACUGUUGUAUCCUUUGUGGGAGGUGUGAGAGUGGAAACAAUCUCUUCUCAAAGACUUUCCCUAUACAGGUAGGGACCACACAUCUCAAAGAAUUCCAGUUACU